AAUUGGAUUAACAUUAUUAUUAUUGUUUGAUUUGAUAUGCAGGAUUGCAAGAAACAAUGCUCAGCAGAUGCGAAACUAUGCUGCAAAAGAUAUUAAAUUUGGAGUGGAUGCUAGAGCUUUGAUGCUUAGAGGUGUUGAAGAGCUUGCUGAUGUUG